UCAAGUAAGUAAGGGCGUACGGCGGAUGCCUUGGCCAUAUCAGCCGAAGAAGGACGCGAUAAGCUGCGAUAAGCUGCGGUGAGGUGCAAGUAACCUUUGACCCGCAGAUCUCCGAAUGGGGAAACCCGGCAGCAGUAGUGCUGUCAUCCUCUAUGAGGAAGGGCACCCGGUGAACUGAAACAUCUAAGUAGCCGGAGGAAAAGGAAUCAACAGAGAUACCCCUAGUAGCGGCGAGCGAACGGGGCAGAGCCCAAACCGGGAUGGGAAACCAAUCCGGGGUUGUGGACUGCUAUCAAAUGCAUGAGUGAAGCAGAAUGAGCUGGGAAGCUCAGCCAGAGAGAGUGAGAGCCUCGUAGGCGUAAGCAAGUGCAUGGAGCAGGAUCCGGAGUACCACGGGACACGAGAAACCCUGUGGGAAGCUGGGGGGACCACCCUCCAAGGCGAAACACUGAUAUGGACCGAUAGCGCAUAGUACCGUGAGGGAAAGGUGAAAAGAACCCCGGGAGGGGAAUGAAAGAGAACCUGAAACCGUAUGUCUACAAGCAGUCGAAGACCUUUAUAUGGUCGACGGCGUGCCUAUUGAAGAAUGAACCGGCGAGUUACUUCAGCUAGCGAGGUUAAGCAGGAAAUGCGGAGCCGCAGCGAAAGCGAGUCUGAACAGGGCGUAUAGUUAGUUGGAGUAGACCCGAAACCACAGUGAUCUACCCAUGUCCAGGUUGAAGCACAGGUAAAAAUGUGUGGAGGACCGAACCAGUGAGCGUUGAAAAGCUUUUGGAUGAGAUGUGGGUAGGGGUGAAAUGCCAAUCGAACGUGGAGAUAGCUGGUUCUCCCCGAAAUAGCUUUAGGGCUAGCCUCAUGGCGAGAGUACAGGCGGUAGAGCACUGAACGGGGUAGGGGCCUAUCCGGCUACUGAACCUAAUCAAACUGCGAAUGGCUGUACUUAUCCAUGGGAGUCAGACUGUGAGUAAUAAGGCCCAUAGUCAAGAGGGAAACAGCCCAGACCAACAGCUAAGGUCCCCAAUGCCGUACUAAGUGGCGAAGGAUGUGGAAUUUCGAAAACAACCAGGAUGUUGGCUCAGAAGCAGCCACCAUUAAAAGAGUGCGUAAUAGCUCACUGGUCGAGAGACUCUGCGCCGAAGAUGUCCGGGGCUAAAGUACGGAACCGAAGCUUUGGCAAUUAACAUAAGUUAAUUGGGUAGGGGAGCGUUCCUGCAUGGGAGAAGCCUGACCGGAAGGACAGGUGGACAGGCAGGAAGAGAGAAUGCCGGUAUGAGUAGCGAAAAGAAGGGUGAGAAUCCCUUCCACCGAAAGCCUAAGGGUUCCUGGGCAACGAUCGUCGUCCCAGGGUAAGUCGGGACCUAAUCCGAGGCGGAGACGCGUAGGAGAUGGACAACAGGUUGAAAUUCCUGUACUGGCUGAGGCCGUUUGAGCGAAGGAGUGACACAGGAAGGAAGGCGCGCGUGCGAUUGGAAGAGCACGUCCAAGCAGGUAGGUCGGGAGACAGGCAAAUCCGUUUCCCGUAAGGCCGAGAUGCGAUGGGGAGCUUCUGGAGACAGAAGCGAAGGGGCUGGCACUAAACUGUCGAGAAAAGCUUCUAGUGAGGACUCAGGCACCCGUACCGAAACCGACACAGGUAGGCAGGAUGAGAAUUCUAAGGUGCGCGGGAAAACCCUCGUUAAGGAACUCGGCAAAAUAUAUCCGUAACUUCGGGAAAAGGAUAACCCAGCGUACGUGAAGUGCAGAAGCGCAUGGAGCGGAGAUGGGUGGCAGAAGAGAGGCCCAAGCGACUGUUUACCACAAACACAGGCGUCUGCUAAAGCGAAAGCUGAUGUAUAGAUGCUGACACCUGCCCGGUGCUGGAAGGUUAAGAGGAAGUGUUAGCGCAAGCGAAGCAGUGAAUUGAAGCCCCAGUAAACGGCGGCCGUAACUAUAACGGUCCUAAGGUAGCGAAAUUCCUUGUCGGGUAAGUUCCGACCCGCACGAAAGGUGUAACGAUUUGGGCACUGUCUCAACGAGGGACCCGGUGAAAUUGAAGUACCUGUGAAGAUGCAGGUUACCCGCGACUGGACAGAAAGACCCCAUGGAGCUUUACUGUAACCUGAGAUUGGAUUCCGGUAAGAGAUGUACAGGAUAGUUGGGAGGCUGAGAAGUGAGUACGCAGUAUCAGCGGAGCGCGUGGAUACCA
rnacentral:rRNA from 1 species